rnacentral:snoRNA from 1 species
GGGGGGGUUGUUUAACUAUUAGACAAAGACAUAAAGUACAUUUGAAAAUGAACUGUCUUUUACAAUCCAGAGCUCAUGGUUCAGUAUGAGUUUUGACAUAUAUAGACAGAAUAUG